GGAGGUCUAGCUCAGUGGUAGAGUGUGUGCUUAGCACGCACGAGGUCCUGGGUUCCAUUCCUGGCACCCCCA
rnacentral:tRNA from 1 species